CCCUUAGAGUUUGAUCCUGGCUCAGGAUGAACGCUAGCUACAGGCUUAACACAUGCAAGUCGAGGGGAAACGAUAGAGAAAGCUUGCUUUUUCUAGGCGUCGACCGGCGCACGGGUGAGUAACGCGUAUCCAACCUGCCCACCACUUGGGGAUAACCUUGCGAAAGUAAGACUAAUACCCAAUGAUAUCUCUAGAAGACAUCUGAAAGAGAUUAAAGAUUUAUCGGUGAUGGAUGGGGAUGCGUCUGAUUAGCUUGUUGGCGGGGUAACGGCCCACCAAGGCGACGAUCAGUAGGGGUUCUGAGAGGAAGGUCCCCCACAUUGGAACUGAGACACGGUCCAAACUCCUACGGGAGGCAGCAGUGAGGAAUAUUGGUCAAUGGGCGAGAGCCUGAACCAGCCAAGUAGCGUGCAGGAUGACGGCCCUAUGGGUUGUAAACUGCUUUUAUAAGGGAAUAAAGUGAGCCUCGUGAGACUUUUUGCAUGUACCUUAUGAAUAAGGACCGGCUAAUUCCGUGCCAGCAGCCGCGGUAAUACGGAAGGUCCGGGCGUUAUCCGGAUUUAUUGGGUUUAAAGGGAGCGUAGGCCGGAGAUUAAGCGUGUUGUGAAAUGUAGACGCUCAACGUCUGCACUGCAGCGCGAACUGGUUUCCUUGAGUACGCACAAAGUGGGCGGAAUUCGUGGUGUAGCGGUGAAAUGCUUAGAUAUCACGAAGAACUCCGAUUGCGAAGGCAGCUCACUGGAGCGCAACUGACGCUGAAGCUCGAAAGUGCGGGUAUCGAACAGGAUUAGAUACCCUGGUAGUCCGCACGGUAAACGAUGGAUGCCCGCUGUUGGUCUGAAUAGGUCAGCGGCCAAGCGAAAGCAUUAAGCAUCCCACCUGGGGAGUACGCCGGCAACGGUGAAACUCAAAUGAAUUGACGG
rnacentral:rRNA from 1 species